rnacentral:rRNA from 1 species
GAAUAUUAGUCAAUGCUCGAAAGAGUGAACUAGCUAACUGAAAUCAAUAAAUAUAAAUUGAUAACAUAAGGGAAAAUAAUGAUAUUACCUUAUUAUUAGUGUCGUCCAAAUCUGGUGCCAGAAGACUCGGUAAGGCCAGAGACACAAACGUUAAUCGUCUUAAUCAGGCGUAAAGGGUUUGUAGGCGGCUUUAAAUUUAUUUAAAAAUAAAAAAUUUUAAAGUAAAGAAUAAAAGCUAGAAUCAAAUAGAGGAUAUAUUAAAUAAUGCUUAGAGUAGGUCUGAUAUCCUUAGAUACUAAGUAGAAUAUUAAAGGCGAAAGCUUUUUUCCAUUAAUGAUUGACGCUCAGAAACGAAGGUGAGGAUAGGAAAUAGGAUUAGAUACCCAAAAUACCCCUCUCUGUCAACGAUGAAUGGUAGUUAUUAGUAAUAAAUUAUUAAUGGCAAUGUUAACACGAUAACCAUUCCGCCUUGUGAGUACAACUGCAAAGUUGAAAACAAAAAAAUUAGUCGGUUUCGGAGCAAACGAAGUGAAGCAUGUUAUUUAAUUC